GGGGGACACUUUUACGUGUGACACAUAUGAUUUGGUUUAUCGAUGUAUUAUAAAGUUGUUCAAGACGCACAUCCAGCCAUAAGAAAGCCAUAACGUCAUACAAGGACUGAAAGGUGACGUUUGCAACGGUAAACUCUUUUUGUGUGAAGGAACAUUCUUCUUUUUGAUCAUUUUUGUGUUUGUGACGAAGCGGACUCAUUCCCUGUUUGCGUAAAUGCGGCCAGCGAGGAUGUCUGAGGGGGCGGAGCCAAAUCAUUACGACAUCAGACUCACCUGGACUGAUCACCUGAGAACUACUUAACCUGUCACUCGGUCUGAUUGAUUCUUCUGUUCUGGUUUUAUCUGGUGUGUUUGUCCAACCUGCAGCUCAGGUCCCUCUCUAUCUCCCCACACAUCCACCAACCACUGGAACACAUCUCCAAAGUUCUGCCAGGCCAGCUCAGCUUCCCCUCAGAAGAAGUGCUGCCACCUGCCAGAUGAAGGAGCCUUUUGAGAGGCAGCUGGCAUCAUGAUUGGACUGUACUUUGGUCUGUUCCAAUCCAGCUUCAGCUCCAGAGACGGCAGGCGGGACGAGUCAACGGAGGCCUGGUGGACGAAGGCAUGAAGCUGAGUACAAUCCAGAAAACAACAGAGGAGGAGUGCAGUGGCCCAGGGCCAGAACAACCAGAGUAGCAUCACCAGAGAACUACAGACUCUUCACAACCUCCUCAAACUCUUGGUACAGGACCUCACCACACGGGUCAAGAAGGUUUCUGUCUCAUUUCUACUCUGAAGCUCACCUUCUCCUGCUCAAACUGCUGACAAAUGUUUCUGCUGCUCUAAAGUCUGGUCUCCAGAACUUCCUAAAAAC
ensembl:lncRNA